GUGCUUACUUUGGCAGCACAUAUGCUAAAAUUAGAAUGAUAUGGAGAAGAUUAGCAUGGCACCUCUGCAAUGAUGACAUGCAAGUUUGUGAAGCAUACAAUAUUUUU
ensembl:snRNA U6 U6 spliceosomal RNA